UGAACAGUGCUCAGAGUAUCGAUAGAGGAGGAAUGUACAGUGCUCAGAGUAUCAAUAGAGGGGGAAUGAACAGUGCUCAGAGUAUCAAUAGAGGAGGAAUGAACAGUGCUCAGAGUAUCAACAGAGGAGGUGUGAACAGUGCUCAGAGUAUCAAUAGAGGAGGAAUGUACAGUGCUCAGUAUCAAAAGAGGAGGCAUGAACAGUGCUCAGAGUAUCAAAAGAGGAGGCAUGAACAGUGCUCAGAGUAUCGAUAGAGGAGGCAUGAACAGUGCUCAGAGUAUCGAUAGAGGGGGCAUGAACAGUGCUCAGAGUAUCGAUAGAGGAGGAAUAGACAGUGCUCAGAGUAUCAAUAGAGGAGGAAUGAACAGUGCUCAGAGUAUCAAUAGAGGAGGCAUUAACAGUGCUCAGAGUAUCAAUAGAGGAGGCAUGAGCAGUGCUCAGAGUAUCAAUAGAGGAGGAAUAGACAGUGCUCAGAGUAUCAAAAGAGGAGGCAUGAACAGUGCUCAGAGUAUCAAAAGAGGAGGCAUGAACAGUGCUCAGAGUAUCGAUAGAGGGGGCAUGAACAGUGCUCAGAGUAUCGAUAGAGGAGGAAUGUACAGUGCUCAGAGUAUCAAUAGAGGGGGAAUGAACAGUGCUCAGAGUAUCAAUAGAGGAGGAAUGAACAGUGCUCAGAGUAUCAACAGAGGAGGUGUGAAAAGUGCUCAGAGUAUCAAUAGAGGAGGCAUUAACAGUAAAU